rfam:Sedimenticola thiotaurini strain SIP-G1, complete genome.
GAAAUCCAGUUAAAGUUGUGCGUUCACCGCGCCCAACGUAGGCUGAUUAUUGUAUUUUUAGGAGUUACCUGAUGGCCCGUAUUGCAGGCGUCAAUAUUCCCGAU